rnacentral:rRNA from 1 species
GUACGGGGUGUUAGGGCACGACACCGGAGAGGGAGCCUGGGAAACGGCUACCACAUCCAAGGAAGGCAGCAGGCGCGCAAAUUACCCAAUCCCGACAUGGGGAGGUAGUGACAAUAAAUAACAAUACAGGGUUCUUUUGGAUCUUGUAAUUGGAAUGAGUACAAUUUAAAUCUCUUAACGAGGAACAAUUGGAGGGCAAGUCUGGUGCCAGCAGCCGCGGUAAUUCCAGCUCCAAUAGCGUAUAUAAAGUUGUUGCAGUUAAAAAGCUCGUAGUUGAAUUUCGGGAUCAAGGAAUCGGUCAUGCCUCGGUAUGUACUGGUUUUAUUGGUUCUCACCUUCUAAAGAACCAUAAUGUCAUUCAUUUGAUGUUAUGGGGAAUUAGGACUGUUACCUUGAAAAAAUUAGAGUGUUUAAAGCAGGCUUACGCUAGAAUACAUUAGCAUGGAAUAAUGAAAUAGGACAUCAGAUUCUAUUUUGUUGGUUUCUAGGAUCGAUGUAAUGAUUAAUAGGGAUAGUUGGGGGCAUUAGUAUUCAAUUGUCAGAGGUGAAAUUCUUGGAUUUAUUGAAGACUAACUACUGCGAAAGCAUUUGCCAAGGAUGUUUUCAUUAAUCAAGAACGAAAGUUAGGGGAUCGAAGACGAUCAGAUACCGUCGUAG